rnacentral:rRNA from 1 species
CAGUAGCCGCGGUAAUACGAAGGGGGCUAGCGUUGCUCGGAAUGACUGGGCGUAAAGGGCGCGUAGGCGGCGGCCAAAGUCAGGCGUGAAAUUCCCGGGCUCAACCUGGGGGCUGCGUUUGAUACUUGGUUGCUUGAGUGGGGAAGAGGGUCGUGGAAUUCCCAGUGUAGAGGUGAAAUUCGUAGAUAUUGGGAAGAACACCGGUGGCGAAGGCGGCGACCUGGUCCUUUACUGACGCUGAGGCGCGAAAGCGUGGGGAGCAAACAGGAUUAGAUACCCGCGUAGUCCCUGUCUCUUAUAC